CCUACGGGUGGCAGCAGUAGGGAAUAUUGCUCAAUGGGGGAAACCCUGAAGCAGCAACGCCGCGUGGAGGAUGAAGGUUUUAGGAUUGUAAACUCCUUUUGUGAGAGAAGAUAAUGACGGUAUCUCACGAAUAAGCACCGGCUAACUCCGUGCCAGCAGCCGCGGUAAUCCGGAGGGUGCAAGCGUUACUCGGAAUCACUGGGCGUAAAGAGUGCGCAGGCGGGCUUGUCAGUCAGAUGGGAAAUUCUGUAGUUUAACUUAGGAACUGAAUUUGAAACUAUGAGUCUAGAGUGUUGGAGAGGGAGGUGGAAUUCUUGGUGGAGGGGGAAAAUCCGGAGAUAUCAAGAGGAAU
rnacentral:rRNA from 1 species